UACCAGCACCCCGAGUGGUCGGGACGUUUAUUGGGCCUAAAGCCUCCGUAGCCGGUUCUCCAAGUCUUCCGUUAAAUCCAGCUGCUUAACAGAUGGGCUGCGGAAGAUACUAUGGAGCUAGGAGGCGGGAGAGGCAAGCGGUACUCGAUGGGUAGGGGUAAAAUCCGUUGAUCCAUUGAAGACCACCAGUGGCGAAGGCGGCUUGCCAGAACGCGCUCGACGGUGAGGGAUGAAAGCUGGGGGAGCAAACCGG
rnacentral:rRNA from 1 species